rnacentral:rRNA from 1 species
UACGUAGGGUGCAAGCGUUAAUCGGAAUUACUGGGCGUAAAGCGUGCGCAGGCGGUUGUGCAAGACAGAUGUGAAAUCCCCGGGCUCAACCUGGGAAUUGCAUUUGUGACUGUACGGCUAGAGUGUGUCAGAGGGGGGUAGAAUUCCACGUGUAGCAGUGAAAUGCGUAGAGAUGUGGAGGAAUACCGAUGGCGAAGGCAGCCCCCUGGGAUAACACUGACGCUCAUGCACGAAAGCGUGGGGAGCAAACAGG